UUAGUUUGGUUCCAAAACUAUCGAAAUGUCUCGCAACGCACUGCCUUCGUUGAGUGAGCUGGAAGAGCUAGUAAGCUUUUUGGAAAGCAAAUCAUGUUUGAUUAUGAUGGGCCGUGCUCGUACUCCGAAUUCGAGCAGUCGUCAGGCAUGAUCCGAAAACAACAGCCUCAUACAGUGACGUAGUGGGUGUAUGAAAAUAUUGGACCAAUGGUGUAAGUACUGGAAGGACAAAAAGGAGCAGUUCAGAGGAAGUCCAGUUCAAUUGCAGCUGCGAGGCAACAUGAAGAAUUUGCCAGAACUCGUUGUAAUUGAGUUAAAAAUACUUUCCAUUAUGCGAAGAGAAUGUUUUUGGAAUCUGAAUUUAGAUAAAUAAAUCUAUGUUCAUUAUAAAAUACAAAAUAAUAAAA